rnacentral:lncRNA from 1 species
GCGGGACCAGGACUCAGUCUCCCCGUCUGGGCAGUGGGGACGCGGAGGAAGGCGGGGAGAAGCGGCCGGGGCAGGGCUGACAGGGGCCCCCGGGCGCCACAGGCAAGGUCAGCGAGGCCGCCCCGUGGGUGGGCGCGUGGGCAGGCAGCGGUCGGCGGCUCCCCAUCCCCUGGGCGCACCCCUCCCCGGGAACCGGGCCGGACAAUGCCCGUGGGGAGGCACCCCGUGUUUGCACAGGCCACCCCGGAAUGUGGUGGGACAGGCCCCGGGGGCCCCUGAGUCAGCACCACGGGCACCAGGCCAGGACGGGGAGGGCCAGCCCUGGCAGGUGGCACUGGUCCUGGGGUGACCGGCACAGGGCACGUCGGGGGUCCAGGGUGGUGGGUGGGUGGGCUCUGCCGCUGGAGCCCCGGGUUGGGGCUCGCCCCAGGUCAGGGCUCAUUCACCCUCUCGUCUCUCGCUGCUGCCCCUGUUGCCCCCGGAGCGCUGGCUCCGUCCCACGGGGCCUCAUAUGGGAGAGCCAGGAGCCCCCUGCGCCCCGUUUAUUCCUGCCACCAGCCCUGUGAUGUCCCUGCCUGGACAAGGACACAGCAUGAACAUGCCCAGGCCCCGGCCCCACACCCAGCACUCACCCUGCCCCUUGGAAAGCCUCCGGCCACCCUCAGACCCGUCCCCCAUCACCUGUCCCCAUCCCCCCUCUCCGCACCCCAGGGGCCAGCCCUGUCCCCUCACAAUGUCCAUCUACCUCCACUCCUCCUGCCAGGAGCCCUCGCCCACUGGGCAGCCAUAGGGGUCCCUCCCUCUCGGGCUCCAGUCCCGCUGUGGCUCCCUAGUGCCCUCUCCGUCAAGGCCCCGCCCCACCCUCUGACCUUGGCUCCUUCACCUUCCAUUUCCCUGAGCUCCACCUCCCAGCCUCUGUCACGCACUUCUCGCCUGUCCCCUGGUCACCCCCCGAGUGUCACUGCCCCCCAGACCCACCCCACCGAGCUCAGGGUCCUGUGGGGCCCACUCAGAGCCCUCUGGAUCUCGGCCUGGUGCCCAGCAGUGGGGGGUGGGAGGCUGAGGUGCCGGUCCCUGGCUCCAGAGGACGGGGUGGGGGGGCUGGAGGGCCAGGGGUCAGAUGGCCUCUGGUCCCCUCCCCCCUUCCUGCUACUUCCCGCUGCUAGGCCUAGGGAGGGGCCAGUGGCCCCAGCUCCUGUCCCAGCUCUGCUCCCAGGUGGCCUGCAGCCCGGGGACACUGGCAGCCCCAGGCCCAAACACCGGGCCCUCCCCGAAGCAGGGACGAUGAAGGAAUGAGGGAGGGAGUGAGCCCUGACCGGCCGCCCAGCUGAGCCCCCGCGCCCCCCCCGGGGGUGU